CUAUAGCUACUACCUCAUUGCUGACAAAAGUGAAGGUCACUCAACUCAAAGUCCUACUAAUCAUUCAACUUGGAGAAACAACGUAGUGUAACAGUAACAUGAACGAAAGAUAUUGCCAAUAUGAAUUCUAUUAUGACUAUCUAUAGUUAUAAAAGUGAUUAUAAUUGAAAACGAUUGGUUCAUUGAAAAAUCAACCACUUUUCAAUUUGAUACCAAUUAUAUCUUGAAACAUGAAUGGAAAAAAAUGAAGUGUCUUAGUUAAGAUUGAGUUUGCCUUUAAUACCUCAAAUUUGAUUCAUCCAUUGGCCACUCCGAUGGUGGGAAUGAUGAGUGGAUAAGAAUAUAUGAGGAAAAUGUCAUUUAGCAAUUAUGGGCUGCUUGUCUUUUGGAUUUGAACCGUCAAAUAUACAAAUAUUGGUUCUUAAAUUCAGGAUUUUCAUUUGACUCUGACCAUACUUUUCUAGAGAGUCUAUGUAUUAGAUGAGUGGAUUUGAAUACGCUAAUACUAUGUUUGUGCAAGCGGUUAAUUUAUCACUUCAGCGGCAAAAACCCACGUUUGAGUAAAAGUUAGCUUUUCAAAUUUUUUUAAAUCACGGUGAGAAGUAUCUAAGGAAGCGCAAAAGAUGUUCUGGCCAUGAUUCCAAACACACCAUAACUCUUAGAUGAGGUAUUUCACUAGUCAAAUGAUGAGUUCAAUUUGUUAAUAAACUUCACUUAAGGGCAAUCGUUCGGAAGAAUCUCAAAUUUAAUUUUUGAGUGAAACAAUCUUUAACUUUGAAAUCACAUAUAGUGUUGCAACGUUACCAUAAAUUCGUGUAAACUUAUUAUUCUUUUAAAAAAAAUAACAAAAAUUGUUUGAAUUCAAAAAUAGGUUGGAGAAAAAAGAAGAGAAAAUGAAAGGGAAGGAAGGACAAAGGAAGAGGAAGAGGGAAAAAAAAGGAGAGGAGUGGAGGAGAAAGGAUAAUGGUUGAAAAUUUGAAAAUGAGUUAAUGGUAUUUUCGCCAUUUUAGAUUGUUCGAUCCAUACAAUUUCAACAAUCAAAUUGGUGAUUCACCUUAUGUUUGGUUCAUCUCAGCUUGGUGCUUUGAAGUUGGUCUCGUCUCCUCUGAUGGAACUUGAUGCAUGCAUUGAUCCUUACUUGCACACAAGCUCAAGAUUGUUUUUCUUAGAGAUUAGUUUGCUUUAUUUUCUUUCCUUUCUGAUUAAAAAUCUAAGUCAGGCAUUUGAUAGAUACAAUUCUUUAUAAAAGUUUAUAAAGAGAAGCAUUUCUCAACUUACAACCCGAUUUUGUAAAAACGAGUUAAACUAAAAUUUAAUAUGGUAUCAUAACCUAUAAAUUCGAGUCACCCACAAUUUAUACACGCAACAAGCCUAAAAUUGUUGAGUUUAUAAAGAGAAGCACUCAUCACCAGGGCUGGCCCUGGCCAAGUGCAACAAGAGCCUUGGCACAGGGCCUCACACCUAGAGGGGACUCAAAAUUUGGAAAAAGGAUAAAUAAACUUAUAACUAUGGACAAAAUCCAUCACUAAAUGUCAUUUUUCGUAGGUAAAAGUCUGAAAUAUAACAAUUUUAUUGUCAACUAUGUAUUGUCAUAAGUAAAUGUCUAUUCAUCUUAGGUAAAAGUUAUGUUUGAAUCAUUGCUCAUAAAUGUUGGAUUUUUUUCAAAAAUUUUAAAUGAAAAUUGUAAACUCUAUAACCGGACCUUACAAAUCAGUUGUGAAGGAAUAAGUUACAAACAACUUCAACUUUUCUUUUUCUUUGUUUCCUUAUAUAACCAAAAACUGUAAGCAAGAAAAAAAUGAUUGGGUGGUAAAAAUAUAUGCAUAAAUCUCAACUAAUUCUAUCAUUUUUAAUGAUAUAAUUUCUUAAAACACCCUUCAAUUAUUUUAGAUUUCAUUUGUCUGGUAUCUUCCAUACCUAUAUGUGAAACAUGUUUCAGUGAAAGGUUAUUUUGUUGAGUAUAAAAAUGAAGGUAAUUUUGAAAAAUCUAUUUAUUUUUAAGAUUAUAUGAACAAAAUUAAAUCGACGAUUUUUUAUUUAGUGUGAAUUAUAUUAUUUUUUUUACUCAUGUGAUUCACAAUCGGUGUGAAGAAUAAGGUUCGUCCACUAUCAUUAUAUUCUGGCCCUAUAUUUGAUUGAGCCUAUGACUUGAGUAACAAAUGAUCACCAAAUGGAAAAUAAGAAAAUCCAGCAUUUUCAACACACCCAAACCAAACCCACAACUUUUUAUAUCAAAAAAUAUCGUAAUGAGGACAACAUCUAAGGCUAAAACCAAUGACACGUUCGAAAGAAUCUAAACUACUACACCAAUAAAAGUGCAUUAUUAUAGUACACGAAAAGUGUGAGAUUCUACAUCAGUACAGAAAUUCACUAAAGUUAAUAUAGAUUUAGGUUACGGACUAACUCAUUCCAAUCUAUUACAUUUUGUUUGGUUAAGAAAAGUAAAGAAAAUAUGUAAGGAAAUUAAGAGAGUAAAAUGAGAUGAUUUUUUAGUUGUUUGUUUUAAGAAAAAUUAUACUUUGUUAGCAAUUGAAAAUGAUAGAAAUGUCAAAAUCAGUGACGGAUCCAGGAAUUUAGAAUAGUGGCAGCAUUUUAUAUGGGCACCUUAAAUAUAAAUUUGUAGCACCCGUGAACAUAUUUUAGUUGGUAGGGACACUGUGAUAUGAAUUUUUCGUCACUAGACCACUUGAUCGGAAAAAGAAUAUAAAUCAUAAGUGUCGUUUAUAAUUGUUGAUAUUCUCAAAAACAUUGAAAUAAGGAAGGAAAAAAAAGGAAUAAGUGUUGUCUAUGAUUCUAUUAAGAUAAGUCAUUGACCAUAGGAUUUUUUUUUUUUUUUAUGAGGGGAAACCAUAGGAUAUAAUAGGUGAGGAGAAACUAUAGUUGAUUAUGCUAUGAUGAACGUGACUGUUGACAAAUUGCAAGAUAAAACCACGCUUUAAAUAUGAACCUAUAACUAUUUUUAAAGGUUCUCUGAAAAACUAUAUUUAAAGGUGUACGUAGUUUUCAAUUGAUAUAUUCUUUUUUUUAAAAAGGAAAAUGAAAUAUAUUAAAUCAAAUCGAGAUCUCUACCUACACAAAGAGUGCAAGGUUAGGGUUAUGGCUCUAAAGUCUUUACAAGCUGGAAUACAAUGCAAACACCAACAAGAAAAACGGCAAAGCACUAGCUUGGUUAAACUUGAUGACUUUUAGCUAUUGGUCCCAUAUGAAAUUGAUGUGAUUUUAAUUAAAGACGGAUCAGAUUUAUUCCAAAAUAACAUUCCGUAGCCUAUAGAUGCAAUUUUGGUAUCACAUCUUAUGUCCUAAUUUUGGUAUAAUGGCUCCGGCCAAGGGCACACCACCUAGUCUAUCCAUUUGGAUAAAGUUUACAUAUUAAUGGAACAAAAAAAGACAUAUGUUAAUUUAUAAUGGAAUUAAACUUUUUUGACAAGCCAUGUUACUGAUAAUUAACGCCAACUAUUCUAUAGGCUUGUAUUAUUGUAUGUUAAUUUCUAAGGAGUCAAAAACAAAAAUCUGGUCGAUGAAUUUGGAUCGGGUGAACAAGUUGUGAUUAAAAGUUGGAAUGAUUCUCAUGUGUGCGCUAUUAUCCUGUAUUAUAGAUGAUCGUUCUCAGAGAGUUAUACAUUAAAAAAAAAAAAAAUUGUUUAACAGCUCAGUUUUUUAAAGGAAGAUGAUGCAUUAAUAACCCAAAUUCUAAGCACAAAGCACUACAGAGAAUUGUUAUAGGAUGUUUGUAGCCUGGGAGGUCAUUUGGUCGAGAGUUUCUUUCUACAACAUCAAAAAACUCAGUUUGAGACCCAGCAUCAAGAGAAUAGUUAUAGGAUUACACAAACUGCAUAAUACAAAAUAAUAAUGUAUAAUGCAACAUGAAAUUGACAGAGUACCACAAUAACAACACAGCACAAUCGAACAGAGACAACCCUGCGCAAUAUCAAAUAGAACUAUUGCAUGUUAGAGGUUGAAGACACCCUUAAUUUAGAGCGUAACUAAUUAAACCCUUUAGCUAAAUAGCUUAAAGGAUCCCAUAACCCAUAUACAAAGAAUGAGCUUAUCUAUUUUGAAGCCAAUCGGCUCAAACGCACUAUCGAGUUUAUAUACCAAUCAGAAAAAUAAUAAUCAACUUGUCUACCCUACCUUAAUGCGAGUUAGGCUUGGUUGGACAUAACCAUAAAUCUUUUGUAUGUAGGUGCACACCCAUUAGUAAAAAUAGAUAUAAAAGGAAAAGUAAAUUUACAAAAUAUGCAUGCAUGUGACUGAAUAAACCUAUCUCCCCUUACUACAUACCAAACUCAUGUAACAUGUUUGAUUUGUUCCUUUCCUAAAAAAAAUUGAUUUGUUCCACAACAUCAUUCCAAUCCCCAACCUUGCCUUUGAAUAUGACACCAUUCUUAUGUGAUGAAAUUAACUAUGUCGUGGACAAUCAAAUAAGGUAUUGUACCCUUUAUCAAAGAUAAAUAGAGUGAUAUUUGUACAACUUUUUAUGAACAACUUCAAUGACAACUUUAUUUUUCUUUAUUUUGAUUGGUCAAAAUCAAUGGAGAGAGAAAAAGUAAAGACAGAAUAAGAAGAUAAUGUGAAUAUGAGAGAUAAAGUUGUUAAAAAUUAGUUGUACAAAUAUCAUUUCUCUUAUCAAAAGUUACCAUCUAAACAAAGCAAAAUUUAUAUUGAAAAUUUGUAUAAAAAAUAAAAUAAAAUUCGAAUUGAAUUGCCCUCACCCCACUUAAUAAAAUUCAUUCAUCCAAAAGUGUAUUUGGUUUGAGGUAAUUGAUUCUAGAAAGAUUAGAAUUCGUUAUUUCUUUUAUUUGAAUAGAGUGAUAAAUUUAUUUAUUCUUGAAUUGAUGGACUUUUUUUAUUAUAAAUUUUGGCCAAAAAAUGGUCAAAUUUUAAGGGUCACUUACCAAAUAUUGAAAAUAAAGACCAGCCUACAAAUAUUAGGGACUAAACAACACUUUUUAAAAUGUUCUAUGUCUAAUUUGCAAAAUUUGACAAAUAAAUAACCACUAGUUAAAUUUUGAACUAUGUUGAAAUCAAUUUCCAUAAUUUGAAAUAAUUAUAAGGAUCUGUUUAAGAUGACUUUUCUUUUUUGCAUUAAUCCUCAAAAUUUUAUGCAGAAAUGGUCAUAUUAAUCCAGAGUUUAGUCAUGAACUAAAUAAAAUAUGUUCAAGAAUUGUUACACCUUAUUUAAAAAAAGAAAAGAAAUUGUUACAUCCAAAAAAAUCAUUUUUUUUCACAAGAUGGAAUAAUUAUUAAUAUUAAUUUUUAUGUGGUAUUUGAAAUUUCUUAAAUUUAGCUUUAACCAAAUUUUCAUUCGUCAUGGUGAUUGAAAGGGCAUAAACCAGGCUCUUCUUUUAAUUUUCAUUGUUGAUGCUCUUCGCCGUCUCUCUGGGUAUACCAUUGUGUAAUUGUGGUUCAUGGUUCGACGCUAUUUAUUGUAUUUUGAACUUUUUUUCUCAUCUUUAAGCACAUCUUAUACUUUAUUAGUUUGGUUUCUUAAAAUGUUUCUCGAUUGGCUUCUUAAAAAAAUUGAAGAAUUUGAAUUAUCCUGUAAGAUCAUACUGAUGUAAUCAUAAAAUUCUCUCAUCCAAUUAUUUUAAGUAACACUUGCACAAAGCUAAUUAAGGCCCCAGCCUUUGUUUUCAUUCCUAAGCUGAGCAACUCAGUCUAUGUCUAGUUUAUCAAUAAAAACAUGUACUUUUUAUAUUGUCGAUCUUAUUAACUUAUCUUAUCCAAAUCUUAGUUUUUUUCUCUUUUGGAUUUUAUUCCUGCUUUUAAGGAGUGACCUUGGCCUUAGAUUCUCGUAUCCUCUUAAUUUAUUUAAUUAGAUAGCCAACAAUUACAAGUUGUUGUUUUUUUUACUAUUUUUUGUCCAAAAAAAAGUUGGUUUUUUUACAGAAUAGAAGUUGGUUGUUUUUUUGUCAAAAAAAAAAUCGAAUUUAUAUCUAGCUAGACUUCCAAACUUUAUAUUGAAAAGAUAACUUUUGAAUCUUUUAAAAUAUUAGCCGCACAAUUUAUAUAAAAAAAAAAUCUACAUUUCAUUUUUUAACUUAUGUUCUUAAAGUAUAUUUCCUAUUAAAUGCUCUACGCUAAAAUUUACUAAGUGUUUGUGUCAACUUGACAUCACAGACCGGAAAAGAAAAAAAAAAAAAAAAAAAAGAUGUUCGAUUCUACUAAAACGAUCAUGCACGUUUAUAUCACUCUUAAAAAUGUCAAUUACAUCAGUUGCUUUAGAGAAACAAUCGACCUUCCUAUAACCAAACUCCAGCGUAGUUGGAACCUAUGAAAAAAGGCCAAAAUCUUCAUGUGAUUAAUACACGAGCUAGGUACCAUUACUGCCAUAGUAACCAUGUAGGUGAUCCCCAUGAUGUACACAAAUCAGACAUUUAAACCCCUAAACACCAGCCUUACAAAAGACAUUACCAUCCACAUUCAAAGUGUACAAUUCCCUCAAGGGGUCGACCAAGAGACGGUUCUCUCAACAUGUGUCAUAUGUUCAAUUCUAAAUGAGACAUAAUUAGAAUAUAUUUUCAGUCUCCAAAUCUAACUCCAACGGGACUCUAUAUAUAACUCACAGUCUCACACAAGCAAUUUAGAAAACCAUGUUAAUUUUCAGAUAGACACUUUUGGAAAGGUAAGUCAUCGAUCAUUCUAUAAUUGUUUGCAUGUGUAGACUUGCACACAUAUUUACACUAACACUAGUAUAUGAAAACCCAUCAAUCAGGGCGGUUUCAUCACCCGGCAACCCCGGACGGUCGCUCGGGUUCGAUCGAUAAUUUUUGCACAUUAAACCCAACCCAAAAGUUCAUUAACACACUUACAAAAAGAAAAAUUUGGGCAAUCUGAAAAUUUUCAUACGCAAAUAGGUCUGGAAUUUUAUUUAGCACACUAUUGACGGGUUCAUCUCUCUUAUUUUAACGGGUUAAUUGUUCAAAUUGACCCUGUAAUAUACAUUAUGUCUGAAAAAUGACCCUGUAAAAUACAAAACAUAUAUUCUAACUUUGUAACUUGAAUUUCUUCUUAUUUUUGACCACCCUAUAAUAUACGUCUGGUCUAAAAAUGAGACUUCCGGGUUGAAUUUUUUCACUAUUUUUUUCAUACAUGUUUAGCACAUUAAAAUAUAGCUUUACACAAAAAAUUAAAUUUCUUCGACCAGGGAUAAAUUAAUUAUGAUUUUUUAUUCCCUCAUAAUUAUGAAUUUCUUAAACAAUUUAUAAUUAAUUUGUAUCUCGUUUAAAAACUACAAAUUUCAUUGUGAAGGUUCUUAUCAUGUUCUAGUCAUGCCUACAAAGUUAGGGAACUAAAUUUGACUUGUGAGUAUACGCUUACGCGGAACAAAAUUUCAAUUUUGCACGUUUUGGUUGAAAAAUCAAAAUAAAUUUAAACGACUUCGAAAUGCUAUGAAACUUUACAAAUCCUUUUUAUGUAUUUUUAUAGAUGUCUCUGCAAAUAAUGAGUUCAAAAUUCGAUUUAUAGGUCGAGAUUUCCGUUGUUUUGUUUUUUGAGCUUUUGACACUUUAAAAAUUCAUAAUUAAUUUGUCGUUUGGCGAAAAUUUAUAAUUUUUUUUGUGUAAAGCUAGAUUUUAACGUUCUUAACUCGCCUCUAAGAAAUCAUGAAAAAAUUCAAUCUCUCAGUUGUUUUUUUGGACUUCGCGUAUAUUACAGGGUUAUAAAUAAUAAAAAUCUCGAAUUACAUGGUCAGAAUACAUGUUAUUUAAUUACAGGGUCAAUUUCAAUUAAUAACCCUAUUUUAAAUUGUACUUUUGUUGACAAAAUUAUAAACCUAUUUUAUUUCGAUUUUUUUUAGGAAAAAAAAAAUAUAUGGAUUUAUGAUCGUUUAUAUAUUAUCUGAUGUGAAUUUGCGAUAAAUUUUUUGCCCGAGCUCCAUAAAUUUCCUGGCUCCGCCACCGCCAUUAAUGAUUAUCUUCUUUAUGCAAAAUUGGUCUCCUAUGGAGCACAUACAAUCGGUUUGAGAUUUGGGCGUCUCAUCUUCUCGCAUGUUGAAUUGUCAUUCACCCUUCCCUAAUAUCUGUAAGAUGUUCGUUCAUUUUAUCAAUGAUGUCAUAUAAUCCCUACAAUUUCGUAGCUGAGGCAUGCUCUCGCAUUUUAGUGUCACUUACUCUCUAAUGUAUCUUGUUUUGGAUUGCAUAGAGCAUCUACAUGAUAGUUGGGGAUUAGUUUUAUGUGUAACAAGCAUUGUUGUUUCACCCAUAUUUUCAUCAGUGUGCCAUAUUUGUAGCCUCCCGCCAUAAUUAGGUUUACAUGUUACAUUGGAUUUGUACACACACAUAUAUGCAUUGCGGCUUCUCCAUUUUCCAUUGAAGAUGUAAGUUAGUCAUAUAUAUUUUUGGCAUAGCUAAUAACAUUAAUCAGAUAUUAUUUUUUCAAUAAAUUUAGAGAAAUUUUUUUGAUUCCUUCAAAAUGCCAACCCCUCUCAUCAUGUUAUGAGGUCAUCCUCAGUUGGUGUUACAUCCCAGAGCACUACUUAUUUCUCAACUGCUCCUUUUUUCUAUAUUUCUCUUAUCUGUACAUCUCAUAUCCACUUCUUCGUUUGUUUACUUCUCACUUUUCGUAGAUUUUGUGAUAAACAAUAUAUUUGUGGACAUAAAGAAAAGUCCAUAAACAAUGUGGAUAGUAUGCGACUUAUCUUCUUUGUACAUCAUAGAACAAUCAAUCCAUCAUAAUUGACAUCAAAAGGAUCUUAGCCCCAACAAAACAUUUAAGGGUGACAAUGAUUUCAUGAUUUAGUUCCCAAAAAUGAUAUUACUCCUUCCGUCCCUUAAUGUAAACACCUAUUGCAUUUUUCACAUUUUUUAAGAAAAGUUAUCAGUUAUUAAUGUAUCUAUUUUGUGUGUUAAUAUUACGAAAUUGUCAUUUGUUUGUAUGUAUGUUAAAUUUGACUUUUCAUAUUUCAAGACAAGAUAGAAGUAUUAAUUAGGGAUAUGUUUAGGAAAAAAUUAAUAAAUGCAUCUAGUAAUUUGAAAAGGGGUUUACAUUUAGGGACAAAAAUAAAAUCAAAUUGGCGCUUAGAUAUAGGAACGGAGGGAGUAUAAUUUAAUCAGAAAUAGAGAGACAAAAUUGACAUCAAUUGUUAUCAUAUUUUUUUUUUAAGAAAAAUGCUAACAAGUGCCCUAAGGCCAUUGUUUAAGCAUCUAAAAGUAGAAAUUUUUGCAUUGGAAAUUGUACAGUUAUGACUUUAACAUGUGUUGAAUUUGUAUUUUCAAGACAUAAUUUUUUUUAUGGGUUCUUUAAACAAUGCCCUUAAGACACUUGUUAGUAGGGUUGGGAAUAGGCCAGGCUUUGAUAGGCCUAAGCCUGGCCUACGAAAAAAUUUGCAGGCCUGAGCCUGGCCUAUUUAAAAGUCUGACCUGGCCUGAAAGCCUAUUUACAGGCCUACUUACUAUUAAAGUCACUAAACAUUCCAUUUUAUCUACUUUUAAAUAGGCUUAAUAGGCCUCAAAGCAUAUUUCAGUGUAAGACUUGUCUAUCACUACUAUAAGGUCUUAAAAGCCUAUUUCACUAUAAAGCUUUAAAGCCUAUUUAAAAAGUCCACUAUGAAGCCUAACAUGCAUAAACAGGCCGGCCUAUUAGGCUUCAUAGGCAUUUUUGAUAGCCUAAGCCUGACCUAUUUACUUAAAUAGGCUUUUUAAAAAGCCUAAGCCUAACCUUUUUAAUAAAUAGGCCAGGCCAUAGGCCCCUGUAGGCCGGCCUGGCCUAUUCCCAACCCUACUUGUUAGCAAAAUCUUUUUUUUAAAUGUUAGCAAUAUCCUUUUUUUAAAUGUGAGUAAAUCGUAGUAAAAGUUAACACCAACAAAACAUUCAAGGGUGACAAAGAUUUCAUGAUUUAAUUUCCAAAAAUCUUUAUAUUAUACGAAAGCCUACAUCUAUGAGUGAUAUUACAUGUGACAUCUUCAUGCUCUUCAUCUCAUUUAAUGUUUUUCUAUCAACCAAUCAAAAUAGAUAUUGAAUCAUUUACUUUUUAUUAGCCAAUCAAAUUGGAUCAAUGACUCAUUUAUUUUUCAUGAGUCAAAAUCAAAAUUGAUUACGACAUGAUUUUUUUCCUAUAUAUAUAGAGACAAUUUGCUUUCAUUAUUUUCAUCUACAUCAUCCUCCCAUAAAAAAACAUUGCUUUCAACCCUAUUCUCUUUUCUUUUAUUUGUUUAUUUGUUUAUUUCUUAUUUUUUAUUGUUUGUUUAACAUUUAUUAUUUGUAUGUUACUUUUUAUUGUGAUUUCUUAUUAUGUUGCUAUUUUCUAUUCAUAUUCUCAUUUAAAUUUUUCUUUUGGUGUUUGUUUCUAUAUUAUUUGUUUUUGACCGAAUCUUUAUUCAUGUUUCUAUUUUCUUUUGUAUAUUAUUUGUUUUUGACCGAAUCUUUAUUCAUGUUUCUAUUUUCUUUUGUAUAUACCAAAAAAAUUGUUUUCAUGGCUCCUUUGAUUUAUUUAAAACAGACAACAACAAAACUAAUAUUUUAUAAUUAAAAAAAAUAGAUACUUGAGUAGAAAAAGUUAAUUAAUUGAUGAGUGUAUAAAUAAAAAACAAAAACAAGACCUUACGUUAGUGUAUAGUGUUUUUUAUUUUUUUUAGUUUUAUUUCAUUCAUCCUUAUGAAAUAUUUAAAUAAAUUCAUACUAUUAUUAAAAAUAAUAUUCAAAUUAAAUAUUAUUAAAUUAUGAUAUUUUUUUAGAAAAAAAUAUUAAUUUUUUAUUCAACCCCAUAUCUUUGUAUUCAUUCUUUUUUUUUUUUUUUUAAGGAGAAUUCAUUAUACUAUUAAAACUUAUAAUCACAAAUGGUUUAAAAUCGACUCCAUAUUUAAUUCUUUCCACAAUAUUCGCUCCAUCCUUGACUUCUACGGAAAAACAAUUCUUUGAAAAUACUUCUACAAACUUCAAAAAUUAAAAUUGAUUGAUUUUGAAAUUGUAAUCAUAGUAAUUUAAAAAAAAUAAAUGUGAAAACCAGGUAUUUUGGCUCAAGUUGUUUAUGAACUCCAUCAAAUAAUUUUUUUUUUUGGGAAAACCCAAAUUUCAGUUACUUUGCGGUUGAACUCUUCUCUUAGGACCAUAGGGUUAACAAAAAAAAUAUAAAGAUACAUAAAUACCCAUUAUUAUUAUUUUAGGGAAUAAAAAUGCUCAUUAUCAUUUUUCCUAAAAAUAAUCAUACAAUUUUUUUUUUGCUAAGCAUGGAGAAAGACAGACAUCAGGAGGCUACACCGACAUCCCAACUAGGUUGGCACCCCGGGAAGCCUCCGUCCUAUGCCCGUCUAACUCUAAAAUUUUAUUAAAAAAAAGGGGAAAAUAAUUUUACAAAGAGAUGGGGGACUAGGCCAAAACCCUCAAAGAAAAAACAAAAGAAAACAUAAAAAACGACUACUAAAAUCUAUAAUUGGGCAAGCCAAUUCUGUCACGAAAUAAAUCCAUAUGCAACUCCGCUGGAAGCUUGUCUAACCAAACAAAAUCUUGAACUCAGACAUUUCAAUAUGCAUAAAAAAUUCAUUGGCGGUUUGGAGAAGGUCCCCUAGAAUGGGUGUUAUAAGGCAGCUUCCCAUCAAGAAGUUCUUUACGCAUUAUUUGUUGGUGCUUCUUUGUCAAGGUCAUUAUUAUAGGAUCCUCAACCGCUUUUUUACCAUAUUCCUUGAUACGAUGCCAAAGGUCCAGAUCUUGUUGAAGUCUUGGAGGGACUCGUUGGACAGGAACAACACCAUGGGGGGCGCUCCCUAUCAAAUUAACAUCAGUUUCUACAGUUGCUGAAGAGGUAGCCAUUGUGGAGCCGACAGUGUCUGUAGGAACCGUGACUGUAUGUUCUGAGGUCUGAUCUGCAAUUUGAAGUUGUUUCUUGACAAGCUGCUUCUGUUUCUUUGAUAAAACUGGAAUAAAUUGGCUGGCUGCAUUUUCUUUAUCAUAGGCACGGAUACGCUGCCAUAAAUUCAAGUUAUCCUGAAUUUUGGGAUUAAUUUGAGCUUCCUCCAUAAUAACUGAGUUUCUUUCACCAUCCUGAAGAGAAUCAGUGGAUGCAUUAAAUGCUUGGGGAUCUUCCUGGUCUAGUCUCUCCAUCUCAGCUAUCAAUUCUGUCUCUACUAGGAUUGAACGGACAAGAGGAAAUUGAGAGUUUGCUUGCACGCCAUCUUGGGUUACCACUUGCUGCGCCGGUGAAUCCUCCCUAGUGGAAGUGGUGGAAGCUGAUUCAUCAGACAAAAUAAUCAUACAAUAUACAACAAUAUAAUUUCCAUUAAACGGUCUUUAUUACUUUUCUAAAAAUAAUGAAAUUGAAUAUGUCAUCAUAUUUUUACACCUAUUUCUUUUUUAAAAAAUGAUAUUGCAUAGGUUUGUACUACAUACAAAUUUGUUUCUAUUUAAUGGUGUUUUUUUUUUUGUUCAUGCUAUUAACAAAGUUCGAUUUUGUUAUACGAUAAAGGAUCAAGUUGUGCUAACUUACACAAUUUAAGAGAUCAAUUUGACUUAUAUUAAAAUUAAGGGAUCAAACUGAGAUUUUAAAAUAAGUUUAUGGGUUAAAUUGACCAAUUUUAAAGUUUUGGGACUAAAUUGAACUUUAAAAUUAGUUACAGGGCUAAAGUGACAUUUAAGCCAAAGAAAAAAAUUAACAAUAUGGAAAAUUCAUACAAUUAUAGAAAUAGUAAUAAAAACAACAUUUAAAAGGAGAAUUGAAUGAUAUUAUUAGUAUUAAUAUUUGCUAUCAUGAUUUUUUUUUUUAAAUAUGGUAACAUGUCUUUAAUUAUUUUUUUUUAUAAGUUUAAUACUAAAUUACUAAUAGUAGCAUUACAAAGGAAGGUAGACUCAAUUGGUAAAGAAUUGACUUAACUGUAAAGUAAUUGAUUAUUUUAUAGUGCCUGCUCGAGGACUUGUUUAGUGAAUGAUUUACAAGUAAUCUCUAAAUGCUCUUUGAGCCAUGAGAUUUGUUCUGACUCUGAUGAGCUUCCAAAGCCUAACUCAUCUAAACAUUUUAUCAUUUUUUUUUUAAAUUGUAAAUUUAAAAAAAAAAAUUAAAAAUGAAAAAUCCCAACUUUUUUCUUCAAAAUGAAAGCCUAAAUUUUAGCAUAUUCUAAAAGAAAAAAGAUUAAUUGAAAACAUUUUUUAUGAAAGAUUAUUCAAUAAAAUGGAAAAAUCAUAUAAUUAUAGAAAUAAUAAUAACAAAGUUUUGAAGAAGAAUCGAAUGUUACCCAAAAUUAAAUUUGAGCAAUAACCGAUGAUUUUUUAAAUUCCAAUUUUACUAAUUUUCUAUAAAGUCUGUAUUGCAAUUUUUUUUAAAGUAUGUCGUGUCCUUUUAAUAGCAUAAUGCAUGUAAAUGUCUUUUAAUAACAAUUUUUUUAAUGCAUUUAUGUCUAAUUUUAUAAAUAAAAAUGUACAUGGGAUAACUCUUUAAUGAUCAUUGCACUAACGAUUUUUUAGGUAUAAUAUUUAACGAAGUUAAUAAAAUAAAAAACCAAAAUCACAAUGAAAUUAUUUUUAAUAAAAAAAAUAUGUCGACGAAUGUUGAUUUUGUGAAAGGUAUGAAAUACGAUUUCAUCUAUCUCCAAUGAUACCAGCAGUGCUCAAAAUUCAGAACCUCUAAAUCUAAACUUUGUCUUUUUACUACUAGAAUAAAUCCUGUGAGUUGGAAAAUCACAGUUGACUAGACUAAAUCCUGAGACUUUAUCAUAAUGUCAGGAUUUCCAAUGGAGCCUACAUUGGGUUGGGUAAUCAUGUUAGGCCAGUAGCAAUCACGCAAGUUAAUUUGACACUACAUCUUCACGCAGAACCUUAAAGUCGUAGACAUAUGGGUCAUCUCAUUUACAUGUCAAUCAAAUUCUACUCUUUCUUUCAAUAUGUUGAACGUUAACUCACACUUCAUACAUUAACGUAUUUUAAUCAAGUGUGUGAUUUUAUGCAUUCAUAAUUAUGUGACGUAGUCAUAAAAAGUAAAAUAGAGACACAAACAUGUUCAAAAAUAUGGGUUAGUGGUGAUUUCAUGGAUGUAGGUUGAUGUUCCUUUCUUUCAUGAGAAGGGAUAAAUGAAAUUAGAAGCAAAAUGAGUACGAAAAAGGACAUUGAAUAUGAGAGAAAUGAUAAGAGAAAGAGAUAUGUAAUGUGUUUUCUAUCAUGAGUUAGAACCUCUAAAUCCAAAGUUUGUCUUUUUACCACUAGAUUAAACCCUUAGAGUCGAAAAAUCACAAUGAACUAGAAAAUGCAUUUUUAAUUCAAAUUAAUCAUGAUAAAUAGAAUAUUCAUUGUACAUGAACCAUCUCUCAUCUUGAUUUUUUACUGAAAAUUUUUUACUGGUUUAAUUGUUCUUGAUUAUUAGAAUUACACGAUCAAACACAUUUUUCAAAAGUUGUUGGUAAUUUUAUGAGUUUCUUGAAAGGGUUGAGAAUUUCUCGAUAAUUAAUUUACCAAAACAUUUGACUCAAUUAAAAACACACCGCAUCAUUUAAAAACGUAUAAUAAACAUGUAGGUUGUCAACUUAGCAUAACAUAAAAGUGCUUUUCCAAGGUUAAAUCGUACCAAGGACCAAAAAUAAAAGAAUUUGAAAUAAUACAAGUUGAAUGAAAUAAAUACUAUGAAAGAGAACGACAUGGAAAGACUUAAAUUUAAUAUUUUCCAGAAGAAAAAUUAGAGUAAACCAAAAAAGCGUCGCAUCAUUUUAAAUUUUUUAAUAAGCAUGUAUUUUAUCAAUUUAACAUAAUACAUAUGCAUUUUUCUAAUGUAAAAUUCCAUCAAAUGCCAAAAGUAAAUGAAUUUUAAAAAAAAAAUUAAGGUUGAAUAACCAAAAAUAUAGCAUUAAAGCGAAUGACAUCUAAUAACUAAUAUUUAAGAUAAAAAAAAUCAAACAAAUGACAUUCAAAAACUAACAAAUCAGUUUAUCAUAAUGUUAGGCUUUCCAAUAUAGCCUACAUUAAGUAGGAUAAUCACGUUAUGCCAGUAGCAACCAAACAAGUUAGAUUGACACAACGUCUUCACAUAAAACCUUAAGGCACUAGGUAAAUGGGUCAUCUCAUUUCUAUCUUGAUCAAAAUCUACUCUUUCAUCCAAUAUGUAGAAUGUUAACACACACAUGAAAAUGUUACCAUAUUUUAACCAAUUGUGUGAUUACAUGUGUUCUUAAUUAUGUGACACAGUCAUGGAAAGUAAAAUAGAGACACAACAUGUUCAAAAAUUUGGGUUGAUGAUGUUUUUGUGGAUGUAUAUUUAUGUUCCUUUCUUUCACGAGGAGAGAUAAAGAAAAUGAGAAGAAACAAAAUGAAUACGAAAAAGGACAUUGGAUAUGAGAGUCAGAGAAAUGAUAAGAGAAAAAAAUAUGCAGUGUGUUUUGUCCAUAAGAGAACAGUGAAUAAUACGAGUUGUCGUUAAUUUUAUAAAUUUGUUGAAGGAUAUGAGGAAUCUUGUGUAAUUAUUUUACCAACAAAUUAGACUUAAUUAAAAAAAACUCUAUCAUUUUAAAAUGUUUAAUAAUCAUGUAUUUUGUAAACUCAGCAUAACACAUCUGCAUUUUUCCAUUGUUGCAUCCCACCAAAUACCAAAAUUAAAGGAAUUUAAAAAUAAUAGAGGUUGAAUAAAAAUAUAGCAUGAAAAUAAAUUUUAACAUAAGAGAAAUGAUAAGGGGGAAAAUAAGAAGUGUGUGCUUUGUCUGUGAAAAUAUACGAAAUAUAUUGAGUUGUUGGCGGACUACCGGGGAUCCAAAAACUAACAAAAAAAUUCAUCAUAAUUUUGGAACUACCGGGGAAUGCUACACUGGGUAUGAUUUCCAUAUCAGGCUAGAAAUCACACGAGUGAGAUUGAUACCACAUCCUUACAAAAAAAAUCUUAUAACAUCAAGUAUACGAGUCUUUUUACUGAUACCUUCUUCAAAAUCUACUAUUCCAUCCAACAUAGAACUUUAAGGAAAUAGCUAGGUAUAUGGGUAUAUCAUUUAAAUGUUCUUUAAAAUUUAUUCUUGCGUUCAUGCAAAACUUUAACUUACACUUGACACAUUAACAUCUCGUCCUCAAGUAUGAGACUCUUUGUAUCUGUGAUCUACCACCUUGAAUGACUCCCGCUUUCCCCACAAAAUUGAAUCGAAUAGAGAGGAACCACAAAAAUAAGAACGAUACCACAUUUUCAUCCAAUAUUUUAAGGCGCUAAGUGUAUCAAUUUUUUCACUUAUAUGUUGUUCAACCUUCAAUCUUCUACUCAAUGUUAGACUAUAACUUAUAUUUGAUAUAUCACAAUAUUAUCUUCCUCUAAUAUGAAGAAAUUCUAGCCCGUGCUUGGCACGGGUAUCCAUACUACUGAUAUUUUAAUUUAAUUAGAAAUAAAGAGAGAGAUAAUAUUGACAUCAUUUGUUAUGCAUAUUUUUUAAAUGUGUGUAAAUUGUAGUAAAAGUUAACUUGUAGUAAAAGUUAACACCAACAAAACAUUUAAGGGUGACAAUGAUUUCAUGAUUUAGUUCCUAAAAAUGAUACUAUAAUUUAAUUAGAAAUAAAGAGAGAGACAAAAUUGACAUCAAUUUUUAUGCAUAUUUUUUAAAGAGACAAAAUUGACAUCAAUUGUUAUGCAUAUUUUUUAAAGGGUUAUGCUAACUGGUGCCCUCGGGGUACUGAUUAAGCAUACUAAAAAAAGGAAAUUAUUGCCAUAAAAAAAAAUUGCUUUUGACAUUUUAUAAAUUAAUUACACAAUUUUAAUGCAUUAACUAUUAUAUAAUUUCCUUUUUAGUAUGCUUAACCAGUGUCGCGGGGGUAGGGAUGGGAAUAGGCCAGACCGGCCUACAGGGGCCUCGCCUAUGACAGUUUUGGUCAGGCUAGACUUUUUUUCUUAAAUAGAGAAGGCCUAGGCUUUUGUUUAAGCCUAUUUAGCUUAAAAGGCCAGACCACAUGUCUCUCAAAAAGCCUUUUAAGCCUAUUAGGCCGGCCUAUUUAAGUAAUAUGAAUAAUAUUAUUAUUAUUUGUCAAAAAAAAAUUAUUAUUAUUAUAUUAUAUUUUGUACUUUGAAUUAAAAUAUAAAUUUGUAAACUUUUUCAAUAAUUUAAGUUUUAUUAGUAUACAUUAAUUUUUUGCAUAUAUAAAUGUAUUAUUAUAAAUUAGAAUAGAAAUAUGAUACAAUAUAUAUAUAUAUAUAUAUAGUCGAAUUUCCUAAAACCUCGCGUUGAUUAUCAAAAGUGAGUUUAAUCUAAUUGAACUAUUAGUUCGUUAGUUUGUUUAAACUUAGAUCACAUUGCUUAUUUAAAGAUGUUCAUAAGAUAUAGGCUUUUAAACAGGCUAUCAGGUCGUAUCAGGCUUUAAGAAGGUCAGACUUAGGCUUUAGAAAAAUAUGGCAGGCUAGGCUUAGGCCUUGCAAAGCCUAGCUCGGCUUACCCUAUUCCCAUCCAUACGUGGAGGUACCGGUUAGCAUUUCCCUUUUUUAAAUGUGUUAAAUCGUAGGAAAAGUGAGAUAGAAAUAAACAUGGGAUAGUCUUGUAUGGUCACAAAAUUAAUGGUUAGGCGUACACACACUAAAAGGACACUUUUUUUUAAAAUGCCGAAAUUGUAAGGUCGGAUGUCGUGAUACGAGUUCGAACUCUGGACCUAAAAUAUUUUGAGGUGCUUCCUUUAAGUGCGCACACAUAAUGAGGUGCUUCAUCAUAGCGUGCACACAUUUUAUUUUAUUUUGUCUUUUACACAAAAAAGAAAAAGAAAAGGACAAGAAUUGCUCGAUAAACAUACAAUAUUUAUAUUUUGAUGUUUAAAUAACAAUUCUAAAAACAAUUUAUUAGAAGUGUUUAAGUUUCCAAAUUUUAAAUUAGAAAUAACUAUAUAAUAACCUUUGUAAGAAUAUAAAUUUGUUAAGAUUUAUUGAGGAAAAAAACACAUCCUUCAAGGAGUAGUUGGUGCCUUAACAUGUGUUCAUUAAGAGCAAAUGUUAGCAUUUCUCGAUAAAUUAGAGGAGAAUGUUAUCAAUGCAAAAUUACAUUUUUUUUCUUCCUUUAGAGUACACAUUAAUAAAGACCUUAAAUUAAAAAAUUAUGCUAACAAGUGUCCAAGUUUCAUAGGAAUAUUUGUUAAGAAGACAAAAAUAAAAAUAAUUGAUAAGUUUAAUGAAGCAAAAAUCAAUUUAAAGUUUUAAUGUAAUGAAGGUACAAUUUCCAAUAUAAAGUUUUUUCAUUAAACUUUUUAUCAAGUUGGGAUUUUUUUUUUUGUUGGUUGAAAAAAGAUUACACACACAAGAGGAGGUACCGAGAUUCGAACCCCAUCAUGACAUCCAGCCUAACAAUUUCGACAUUUUGCCAGUUGAGCUAGGACUUCUUAAAUUAAAGUAAAAAUUGAAGAAAAAUUAAGAAAUUUAUUAAUUUAAUUUAAUUUAAUAAAAACAUACACGUCACAUGCUAAUAUCUUUGAUUUGAUUAUAGAAUCUCAACAAUUCACAAAUUCCCAUAAUCUCAUUAGUCUCUUUUAUCAUCAGAAAAUCCAAAACAGCAGCUAUUUAAAGACCAAACCAGUCCUACAGCAAACCACUUCACUUACUUCUCAAACUCAAUCUCUUCAACUGAAAAAACGAAACUCUUCUUCAUCUUCAUUUCACACAACUCAAACAUGAUAGCUUACCUUGAACACUUCGUUCAUGGAAACGACACAGAAUCACCACCAAACGACGACGUUUCAUCUCUCCAAUCUUCUUUCCAUUUCGCCCCAAAUUCCAUCGCUAGUAAAGACUUCGGCGGCAUGAAAUCCUCCACUCCCCUCGCCGUACUCCGCCCUUACACCACCGCUGAUGUUGUAAAAGCCGUUAAAGCAGCAGCAACCACCACAAAUUUAACAGUGGCGGCGCGUGGUAACGGUCACUCCAUCAACGGCCAAGCCAUGGCGGAGAAAGGACUCGUCCUCGACAUGCGAGCCACGGCGGCGGAGCCUUUUCAACUUCUCUACGUCGACGGCGUUCCACACGUCGACGUUUCCGGUGGGGCAUUAUGGGAAGAAGUGUUGAAACGCUGCGUUUCGAAUUUUCAGCUUGUUCCGAGGUCGUGGACGGAUUAUCUUGGGUUGACGGUUGGUGGAACGUUAUCUAACGCCGGUGUUAGUGGUCAGACUUUCCGUUAUGGUCCUCAAACGGCAAACGUAACGGAAUUGGAAGUUGUUACUGGUAAAGGUGAUAGUUUUGUUUGUAAUGAUAAUCAAAAUUCUGAUCUUUUUUUUGCUUCACUUGGUGGUCUUGGUCAGUUUGGUGUCAUCACUAGAGCCAGAAUCGUUCUUCAACAAGCGCCCGAUAUGGUAACUCAAAUUAUAAUCAUCAAUUAAUCUAAAUAAUUUUAGCUCAAGAGACAUUUGACAUGCUGAGACGCUAGUUAUUUGAAAUUCUAGCUAGCUGCGAAACUGGUCGAGAAUUGCAGUCAAAAUGUCUCUGCAACUAAGUUUAAAUGAGUUGGACUCCGAGAACAUAUCUCAAAUCUUUCUUAUUAUUGUAUGAAGUAGUUUAUGUUUUUGGAUUUUAAUAUUAGGGUGAUUAAUUAUAGGUGAGGUGGAUAAGGGUAAUUUACUCGGAAUUUGAGGACUAUACUAGAGAUGCAGAGUGGCUGGUGACUCUACCAGAAGGUGACGGUUUUGAUUACGUGGAAGGGUUCGUUGUGGCUAACAAUGAUGACCCAUGUAAUGGUUGGCCCACAAUUCCGAUGGGUUCGAACCAAAUUUUCAACCCGGUUUGUCUUCCUUCUUCAGCUGGACCGGUUCUCUAUUGCUUAGAGCUUGCUCUUCAUUAUCGAAAAACCGCUCGAUCUUCUGAAGUUAAUACGGUAUUUAACCAACUUAACUAAUUAAUCAAUUUAUUUAUCCAUUUGUUUUUAUAACUUUUUCAACAAAAAUGAAUUUCAAACCACUUCCAGGUUCUUUUGUCUUUUCUAAUAUUUGGAAAUGGUACGGAUUAGGUCAGGAAUGGAAAACAUGUUUGGUGUCUAACAUGUGUUGGUUUCCGAAAUUUUACUUAACACCGGCAUAUUAUAUAUUCGACUAAUUCAUUUUUCCAAACUUUUACCAAUAUCCGAAUGUCUGAAUUAGUGUCGUGUUUGUGUGAGUACUUCACUUCGUAGACAAUGACUCAUUUUUGACCUUGAAAGUUGCUAAGUACAACUUUAAUAUUGAUUGACUUAGCUUGACCAUAAUUUUUUUUAAGAAAAACUUGGCUUGCCAAUUAAGUUGAAGUUAAAAAUUGAAACUAUUAUUGGUGUAGAAAAACAAAUUUGGGUGGGACCCAAGUAAAAAAGUCAAAUAUACGUAGAUUUCACCUACACAUGUACGAAAUUGAGAUAUGGAAGAGGCUUAUUUAAUUCUCUUCUGCAACAAGUUCUAUCUAUAGAUAACGUCACAUAUCAUUUGGGUAUAAGUGUUGGUUUUGGAGUUAGAGAUUUUAUUUUUAUCAGUUUAGAAUUUGAAAUUUUUUUGCCAAUGGUCGGGGGAAAACUGACUACACGGUCGUAAUGUAUCUUCCAUUGGAUUUUCUGACACAUUACUUGUUACUAAAAAGCUUGAGUUGUUGGUUUCAAAUUACCGAAUAAGACACUGUACUUUGCUUAGUUCAUACCUUAGCUAUUAGCAUAAAAUAGUAACAUUGAAUUUGAAUUCCUUUAUGGUUAAGGUUAAAAUAGUCAUGUAACAUUAGUGAGUGCUCCAUUUGCUCUGAUCAUUGAGAUCUUGCUGACGUUUUGGUCCCCACAGUUCCGUAAAUGGCCAAAAAACCAUCAUUUUCUGGAAUCUGUAGUAUUAAUAUUUAAAAAAAUUAUAUUAAAAAAUAUUCAUAUAUGAAUUUAUUGAAUGACGUAAAUAUCCUUGAUAUUUGUAGAAAGUGGAUAGAUUGCUUGGAGGGUUGAGAUUUGUUGAGGGAAUAAAAUUUGAGGAUGAUGUGAAGUACAUGGAUUUUUUGCUACGUGUAAAGCGUGUGGAAGAGGAUGCUAAAGCCAAAGGUAUAUGGGAUGCACCUCACCCAUGGUUGAACAUGUUUGUGUCCAAGUCCGACAUUGCUGAUUUUGAUCGUGAAGUGUUCAAGAAAAUCCUCAAACAUGGGGUUGGUGGUCCCAUUCUAGUGUAUCCACUAUUACGAAGCAAGUAAGUACACUAGACACAUUUCUACUUUGCAACUACUUUGAUUAUCACUAUGUUACAUAGAAAGGUUUAAUCUUAGUAAUUUUUUAAUAAUCGAAUAAGCUAGAUUUGGCAAGAUAUAUAUAUUUUUUUACCGUGAAAGAGAAGGAAAGCUAUGAUUCACAAAAUUUUUAUAAAUGCGUUAGUUGGGUUGGUUGUGUGAUUUUGACAUGAACUGCUAAGGUUGGCUGUGUGAUUUUAUCAUGAUUAUGACGAGGUUAAUUAAUUAAAAACUAGCUACCACUAGUGGUAACAUAUGAACAAUGACAAUUUUGUGUGACACACAAAGCAAGAGAGAUAUGGACCAAGGGGUCCACUAGGAACACCCAACUGUGACCUUGGUUGCAAAGUAUAUGAAUCACCUGAGGCAUUUGCCUCUUUCACCCUAAUUUGCUUCAAGGACCACCAAUUAACGGGGUGGGUAAGAUUUGGAGGGUGGGUUUUUAUUGAUAUUGCACUUGUGUUGAACUAGAAAAGGUUAAUAAGCCAAAAUGGGACCCCAUUUCCCAUAUACUUCACCAUCUAUCUAUUGGUCGUAUGGUAACCUCAGCUGUUUCAUCACACUGCGGUUGUACCUUGUUUAUAUCAGUUUGUUGGUACUUUAUGGCACCU
rnacentral:lncRNA from 1 species